UAGGGAAUCUUCUGCAAUGGACGAAAGUCUGACCGAGCAACGCAGCGUGAGUGAAGAAGGUUUUCGGAUCGUAAAACUCUGUUGUUAGAGAAGAACAAGGACGUUAGCAACUGAACGUCCCCUGACGGUAUCUAACCAGAAAGCCACGGCUAACAAUGUGCCAGCAGCCGCGGUAAUACGUAGGUGGUAAGCGUUGUCCGGACUUAUUGGGCGUAAAGCGAGCGCAGGCGGUUUCUUAAGUGUGAUGUGAAAGCCCCCGGCUCAACCGGGGAGGGUCAUUGGACACUGGGAGACUGGAGUGCAGGAGAGGGGAGUGGAGUUCCAUGUGUGGCGGUAAAUAGCGUAGAUGUAUGGAGGAACAGGAGUGGCGAGAGCGGCUGUCUAAUCUGUAACUGGCGCUGAGACUGGAAGGCGUGGAGAGCAAACAAG
rnacentral:rRNA from 1 species